rnacentral:piRNA from 1 species
UGUCAUUACAUUAGACCGUUU